UACGUAGGGGGCUAGCGUUGUCCGGAAUCAUUGGGCGUAAAGCGCGUGUAGGCGGUUCGGUAAGUCCGCUGUGAAAGUCGGGGGCUCAACCCUCGAAUGCCGGUGGAUACUGUCGGACUAGAGUACGGAAGAGGCGAGUGGAAUUCCUGGUGUAGCGGUGAAAUGCGCAGAUAUCAGGAAGAACACCGACGGCGAAGGCAGCUCGCUGGGACGGUACUGACGCUGAGGCGCGAAAGCGUGGGGAGCGAACAGG
rnacentral:rRNA from 1 species